rnacentral:rRNA from 2 species
UCUUCGGAGAGUUUGAUCCUGGCUCAGGACGAACGCUGGCGGCGUGCCUAAUACAUGCAAGUCGAGCGAAUCGAUGGGAGCUUGCUCCCUGAGAUUAGCGGCGGACG